rnacentral:misc_RNA from 1 species
CGCGAAGUACGGCAGCAGGUGUGUCGGUGGUGUCUGUCCGCGUUCGCCGCUGUGUACACGGCACAAGCCCACACGUAUACACGAGUGCGGGCAUUCCGACACACGCACACACAGAGCGAGGCGCUUACGCACGAGUGCACCGUGUGCACGACAAGAAGCAUAGACCCCAACCCCCACCGCGCAACCACCACAGGUCCAGUCACUCACAAGCACAUACACAACGCACCCCUUCAAGACAGCAGGGAGUUACAUAACGGCGAGAGCAGCCGCAUCAGCCGCGGCACACGUCUUGCCAUCCACGAAAAAGGACAGGGCUGCAGCCUGGAAUACGUUGUUCUGCUCUGUGGUGCUUUCAUUAUCCUUUCAUAGAGGCGGCCAACGGAGGAAAGCAGCACACCGUCACGGCGAAGGAGCAGUGGGACCGGCAAAGGGGUUCCCAGCCCCCCCCCCUCCCGCAUCCCCAGCACUCUACAUACAAGGAGGACACGCUGCAUCAGUGGCUGCUGUUGCUGCUCUGUGUAUGUGUGUGUAUUUUACUCGUCUGAGGCGCAUGAAGGGAAGAGAAGGGAGAAGCCCUAGGCACAAGGCAGCCCUGCACACUGGCACAGACAAAGUCGCGUACAGAAAUGCCUCGUUCCGGUAGCCCAGCGUGGCAUUCCCGCUCGGCGGAGCAGACGGCGCGCCUUCUGCUCUCCAACGCCUUUCGGUAUGAUACGUGGGAGUGCGCGGCGGCCCGGAAGCAGGUUCAAUUCCAUGGCGGAGCGGUGCACACGCUGCGUCUCCGCUUUCGCGAGCUGACUAAGCAGCGGAUUGCGGCGAGCGAUAUCGAGGCCGUUAAUCUCGCUCUCUUCGACCCUGCACGCAAGAUGUUUCUGGGCGCGACGUACCAGCUGGAGGCGCGUGAUAUGACUCGGCCGCUAGCCGUGCAAGUGGCGCCGGCCCAGCUCCUUGUGUUGGAGACUGUGGUGCAUGACACUCGCCCGUCGGCACCGCUGGAAGAGUACCGAGUUACCAGCUGGGGCUUCUGCCCAGUGGAGGAGAUGAUGAGCGGCACGAUCUCGGUCAGGCUGCGGCCUGGCAGUGCGCACCUCCUGCUCGUGGAGAAGAGCUCGUGGCCCGCGGUCAGCCUGCCGACGGCUCCGAGCGACGUCGCGCUAACAUGCGAUGUGGCUGUGGACCAGGACGCAGCACUCGCGCAGCUGAUGGGGGAGCUGGUGCCGCCUGGCAUCUUCGUCUCCGAGGACUUCACACGCGCCACACCAAUGCCUGGCACCUCACUUUUCCGACUGUGCGUGAGGAGCAUUGAGCUGUCUGGCUCGACGGAGGAGUCAGCGUGGAACUUGGCCGACCCGGACGCGGACUGGUCCGUCGCAGCGGUGGCCCAUAACGGCUUUCAGCAGCUUGGCAAGGGCAGCGAGGUGUCGCUGGUCUUAGAGGCGCCGAGCGACGGCGGUGGGCACAGCUCCUCAUCGACCACCUCUUCCUCAUCUACCCGGCGUCCGCCUGCAGCGCCGGCCGCCAACACGGUCCUACUGCGCUCUGACCUGCCUCUCGAAAUUGACCGGCUGCCCGUGCACUCCGCCACGUCGUUGGUGCUGGCCAUCCGCCGCCGCGCGCCAGGCUCACGCGCCUUUGCCGUUCUGGGCUUCUGCGUGCUACCACUUUGCAUGAUGCCGAUGCAGGACCGCGACAUCCGAGUCGAGAACCUUCCAGCCUUGCGGGGUCCCUUCUCCUGCGAAGACGCGCGGCUGCUGAUGGUGGACUCUACAAGCCCGUAUGGGCGUCUGCCGAUCGCGGUAACCCUCACCGUGGAGUACCACGACACCGGCAGGCCGGCAAGGGCGCUGCCCGCAGGCCCCGUCGCCGCCCCAGCGGCGGUAGCAGCACAGCAGAAGGAGGAAAUCACGAAGGAUGAGGUAAGCUCUUCCUCGCUAACUUCCUCCGCCUCCUCCGUCAUCUCCGGAGCGAGGCCGGCGCAGGUUCUUUCUACCGCCGACGUCCCUGGCAGUCGCGUGGCGGUGGGGCCACCCAGCUAUACAGCCUUGCCGACACCCGCCGACGGCGGAGACAGCGCAGGCAUCUUCAAGCUACUCUGCACCAUCAUGGAGGAGCUGCGCAAGGUGCGCGAGGCACAGGACAUGAUUCUCCAACAGACUAGCGGCGAUGGCAGCGGCUUGGCUGCCCUCAGUCCUGCCCUGCAGGAGCGCCUCAACAAGGGCCUGGCGGACGGCGGCGUCGACUUGAUCGACCUCGCGCCGCGGCCCCUCGCAGUCUCGUGGAGGGCGCGCAAGCUCAUGCAAGAUGGCGUGCAGCCCAUUCUUCACCCCCUACACGGGACUCUGCUGGACGACACGGCGCCGGUCGUUGACGGGCUCACGUCGUCUCUCUACGGCUUCCGGCUGGAGGGCAUAACCAUGGACAACGCGCUGCACAUGCCGGUGGACAUCUGUCUGCUCUUCUCGUUCGGUCCUCUGCCGUAUCAGCAGGUGGGUCCCCUGCACGUCACCUCCGUGGAGCGGACGCCCACCAACGAGAGUUACAAGGUGUACGACGAUCGCCGCGAGGCCGGCUUUGUAUGGUGCGAACCGACAGCGGCACUGCAGAGCAGUGCUAUGCGCAAGUACAAGUCCUUGAGCAACGCUGUUGUCUACGUGCACCUGUACGACGCGCUGAGUAUGUUCUACCUCGCCACGGCAAGUCUGCCGCUGUCCACCUUCCGCCGGCCUAUCUCGGCCACGUGUGCGAUGAUUCCCAUGGAUGUGGUGCUGCAGCGGGACUUGAGCAUGACGGAGCAGGUGGUGCCACCGAAGGUGUUUCCCGUGAUGCGGCAUGCGGGACAACUGCACCUCACCAUCUUCUGUGUAGGCAUCGGGGCCGCCGCUGGUGAUAGGAAGAGCUGUGCGGCUGCGCUCGCUACCGUGCACCCGCCGGAGAACGUGCAGAGUCGCGUCAUUACCGCGAAGAAGCUGCGGCACGCCGACCGGCUGAGCCCGGCAGGAUCGAUCACGUUGCCCUCCGGUAUCAAUGACGCCGCAGCGGCGGACGGCGGCGCCUCGGCCUCGCCCACAGCUGCCGCUCCGCCGACCUCAGAAUCGAAAAGGGGCCGCGACGGCGGCGCGGGCGGAGUAGGCACGCUGCACUGGCAACGCGCGCAGUACUUCAAGACCCAGCUGCGGGAGCACCAGCAAAGCGUGGGCACGGCGCCGCAGCUGCCGGGGGUGCCCGACGCACACGUGCAGGCAGCGCAGGAGGCGGCCGAGUUGGAGUACCGCCUGCGCCAGCUCGAGCUCGAGCGCGCCGCCGUCAAGUCGCGGCGCAUUGCCGAGGCGUUGCUGAGCCGCCUCACUGUGGAGCACGAGGUGCUCGUCAUCUCGUGGCGCCCCGAGGUGGUGCGGACGUCCUUCGCGAACCCCUUCUAUUGCGCCAUGGAGUACUUUGUGGAGGUGGACCCGAGGGACACCGACGUCUGCACCGUCAUAGGCGCGGCCAACUUUGUGUUGGGGCCGCGCGAGAAGACGGAGCUGUCGCUGGCGAUACGGCUCUCCAUGACGCAAGCCACCGGCGGUGGCGGCGGGAGUGGCGCGAACCACCACCAGCAGCAGCAGAACAUCACGGUGCGCGUUUACUCUGAGACGCGGGAGCUGGUCUGCUGCAUCCGCGUGCGCGCCACCGUGGUGCCGCCGGUGGUGGACCGGCGCUACGAGAUCUUCGGUGCACCUGGCACGGAGGUGUCCAAGCGUAUCCUCUCCCGCACCUUCUCGGCUGCGAGCUUUCCCGUCACGACCGGCAGCGCCGCCCUGCUGCAGCGCAUGCGUGAGCUCUGUGCCUUUGUCGCCACGUCGGGCGAGAAGACGUCCGUAAGCACGAAUGUGGUGCUGGACCCCAUCACGCAGGCCUACAUCACCGCGUGGGAGGAGGCAACUGUGACGACAGAGAUACCGAAGGAAGUCGGCCGCCAGCGUAUCGAGUACGUGACGCUCUUCUACGACGCCGCUAUGAGUCGCUUGUACGAAACGUGGGAACUGUGCAUCUUCGCCUGUGAGAGCUUCAUGACGCGGGACAUCUAUUGGGGUCAGACAACGGCGCUGGGCCUGCCUGCGGAGGGGACGCGCGACAUGUACUGCAGCGACACCGCCGUCACAGUGGAGCGGCGCGGGGCGUCGUACGUGCUGCGCCUGCACCCCCGCGACGUCGGCACGCAGCGCAUGCUUCUUCACACCCUGAAGGACGAUACGCUCAAGAAGACGCUGGUGACUGUGCCCACUGUGCACCCCACGCCGACGUACUCACAGGUGAUCGAGCUCUCCCUCGCAGAAGUGAAGGGCCCUGUGCUGCGCCGCCUCACAUUUGUAAAUCGCGGAGACCGCGAGGAGGUUUUCCAGGUGCAUCACAACUACAAGUUCAACCUCCGCGUGAACCCGUCGAAGUUCACGCUGGCCCCAAGCGACACGCAGUUCAUCCGUCUUCAGUUCGACCUCCUGACGCUGCCGCCUGGUCAGCAGGAGGGACGGUGGCCGGUGUGGAUCUUUAUCAACAACUCCGAGGACAAGACAGUGGAGUCGUACCAUCUGCAGAUCGUGCUCCGUGCGCACCCAAUCGUGAGCGUCGAGCCAUAGGUGUGUGCGGCGAAAAAGAAGAGGCGGGAAGGCCGAUGUUACGGCUCGGCGUUGUGUGCGCAUCCUGGCCUCCCUCCCACCCGUUCUCUUUUCCUCCGACGUGUUUUUGUGCCUGUGUGCUUCUCUCACCGGCCAUAGAUGGCGCAGCUCUAUCCCUGCCGCCUUUUCUCGUUUCUUGUGACCAUCAGGAGCCCCUGAAGAUGACGGCCAUCCUAGCGCGUGGCGUCACAGGGUCCCGUGCUUGCUCCGUGGAGACUCGAAGCAGUCUGCCGCCCGGCCUCGGGCACGGCCGGCGGAGUCCCAGUGUCCGGCGUCCAGCUCUGGGCUGGCGCCGUGCCGGAGGGACAUGCGGUCAUAACCACUUUUGCACCGGCUCACUACGAAUCCAGCCGGUGAUUCAACAAGGAUGCGCAUCCGCCUACUGCUUUUCUGCGUCUGCUGCGUUGCGGUGAUGCUGAGCGUAAUCCUGGACCUCGGCUACGCUGCAUGCAGUGGUUUUGCACUGGGCUGAAGGAUGUCAGGCUGUGUUGACUCGCCCAGUUCGUCGACGUAGCAGCAGUGAGCAGCAGAGGUUGACGAGCUGUGGCUGUGCUUGCGUGUCACGCUGCUGACCUGUUCAUACUAGAAUUACAUCUAUCGUGCCAACGUGUCCGUUUUUCUGCCAUAGAACACGAAGUAAGCUGCGCUAUGCCCCUCCCACUCCUUCCCCAGGCCUGCCACAGGGCCCCUCCCCCUCGCAUCGCGCGGUGCGGAGCAGCCGUAGACACGCGCGCCACAGCAACGCGCCGGCCCGGUCAUCUCAGCACGGCCCCCGCCUCAAAGGCAACGCACCCGCCCGCAUCCCAGGUCGCCUCGCAGCCGCCCCAGCCAUGCUGGUUGCCACGUGGUGCAUAUCCCUCGCGGGGCGCCUGAGCCGCCCCGCACCACUAAGCAGCAAGGGCCGGGUGGGAUACGUCCCAGCCACGUCGGCACACUCUGCCCAUCAUAUGGAUGGCACACGCGUGUGCAGUGCUGCAGGUCGCUCCAGUGCAACGCCGUCCACCGUCGGACCGCCGACGUGAGUGGCGCUGAGUCUCUCCGACUCCCCAACGUCGCAGGCGCUUGGCCCUCUCACCACGAGAAGGGGCUGUGCAUUGGCCGGAAUAGGGGAGGGGAGGGGCUGCCCGGCUUCGCCACACACCGAGUGGGGAGAGGGGGUGGGUGCACAGAGCCCUGCGACAUGGCGCACGGAGGCGUGU